AGUUCCAAUACGAUCACCGAAGUUAAGCAACAUCCAUCCUGGUCAGUACCUAGAUGGGUGACCGCUUGGGAAUACCAGGUGCUGUAAG